UACAGAGGGUGCAAACGUUGCUCGGAUUUACUGGGCGUAAAGCGCGUGUAGGCGGCUUUGCAAGUCGGAUGUGAAAGCCCACGGCUCAACCGUGGAAGUGCAUCCGAAACUGCAUGGCUCGAGUCUCGGAGAGGAAGGUGGAAUGCUUGGUGUAGAGGUGAAAUUCGUAGAUAUCAAGCAGAACACCUGCGGCGAAGGCGGCCUUCUGGACGAUGACUGACGCUGAGACGCGAAAGCGUGGGGAGCAAACAGG
rnacentral:rRNA from 1 species